AGUAGCGGCGAGCGAAACGGGAAGAGCCCAAACCAAUAAGCUUGCUUAUUGGGGUUGUAGGACACUCUAUACGGAGUUACAAAGGAAUAUAUUAAACGAAUCAUCUGGAAAGUUGAAUCAAAGAAGGUAAUAAUCCUGUAGUUGAAAAUAUAUUCUCUCUUGAGUGGAUCCUGAGUACGACGGAGCACGUGAAAUUCCGUCGGAAUCUGGGAGGACCAUCUCCUAAGGCUAAAUACUCUCUAGUGACCGAUAGUGAACCAGUACCGUGAGGGAAAGGUGAAAAGUACCCCGGAAGGGGAGUGAAAGAGAACUUGAAACCGUGUGCUUACAAGUAGUCAGAGCCCGUUAAUGGGUGAUGGCGUGCCUUUUGUAGAAUGAACCGGCGAGUUACGAUCUGAUGCAAGGUUAAGCAGAAAAUGUGGAGCCGUAGCGAAAGCGAGUCUGAAUAGGGCGUAUAGUAUUUGGUCGUAGACCCGAAACCAGGUGAUCUACCCAUGGUCAGGUUGAAGUUCAGGUAACACUGAAUGGAGGACCGAACCGACUUACGUUGAAAAGUGAGCGGAUGAACUGUGGGUAGCGGAGAAAUUCCAAUCGAACUUGGAGAUAGCUGGUUCUCUCCGAAAUAGCUUUAGGGCUAGCCUCAAGUGAUGAUUAUUGGAGGUAGAGCACUGUUUGGACGAGGGGCCCCUCUCGGGUUACCGAAUUCAGACAAACUCCGAAUGCCAAUUAAUUUAACUUGGGAGUCAGAACAUGGGUGAUAAGGUCCGUGUUCGAAAGGGAAACAGCCCAGACCACCAGCUAAGGUCCCAAAAUAUAUGUUAAGUGGAAAAGGAUGUGGCGUUGCCCAGACAACUAGGAUGUUGGCUUAGAAGCAGCCAUCAUUUAAAGAGUGCGUAAUAGCUCACUAGUCGAGUGACACUGCGCCGAAAAUGUACCGGGGCUAAACAUAUUACCGAAGCUGUGGAUUGUCCUUUGGACAAUGGUAGGAGAGCGUUCUAAGGGCGUUGAAGCAUGAUCGCAAGGACAUGUGGAGCGCUUAGAAGUGAGAAUGCCGGUGUGAGUAGCGAAAGACGGGUGAGAAUCCCGUCCACCGAUUGACUAAGGUUUCCAGAGGAAGGCUCGUCCGCUCUGGGUUAGUCGGGUCCUAAGCUGAGGCCGACAGGCGUAGGCGAUGGAUAACAGGUUGAUAUUCCUGUACCACCUAUAAUCGUUUUAAUCGAUGGGGGGACGCAGUAGGAUAGGCGAAGCGUACGAUUGGAUUGUACGUCUAAGCAGUGAGAUUGAGUGUUAGGCAAAUCCGGCACUCUUAAGAUUGAGCUGUGAUGGGGAGAGGAAAUUGUUUCCUCGAGUCGUUGAUUUCACACUGCCGAGAAAAGCCUCUAGAUAGAGAUUAGGUGCCCGUACCGCAAACCGACACAGGUAGUCAAGAUGAGAAUUCUAAGGUGAGCGAGCGAACUCUCGUUAAGGAACUCGGCAAAAUGACCCCGUAACUUCGGGAGAAGGGGUGCUCUUUAGGGUGCAAGCCCAGAAGAGCCGCAGUGAAUAGGCCCAAGCGACUGUUUAUCAAAAACACAGGUCUCUGCUAAACCGUAAGGUGAUGUAUAGGGGCUGACGCCUGCCCGGUGCUGGAAGGUUAAGAGGAGUGGUUAGCUUCUGCGAAGCUACGAAUCGAAGCCCCAGUAAACGGCGGCCGUAACUAUAACGGUCCUAAGGUAGCGAAAUUCCUUGUCGGGUAAGUUCCGACCCGCACGAAAGGCGUAACGAUUUGGGCACUGUCUCAACGAGAGACUCGGUGAAAUCAUAGUACCUGUGAAGAUGCAGGUUACCCGCGACAGGACGGAAAGACCCCGUGGAGCUUUACUGUAGCCUGAUAUUGAAAUUCGGCACAGCUUGUACAGGAUAGGUAGGAGCCUUUGAAACGUGAGCGCUAGCUUACGUGGAGGCGUUGGUGGGAUACUACCCUAGCUGUGUUGGCUUUCUAACCCGCACCACUUAUCGUGGUGGGAGACAGUGUCAGGCGGGCAGUUUGACUGGGGCGGUCGCCUCCUAAAAGGUAACGGAGGCGCUCAAAGGUUCCCUCAGAAUGGUUGGAAAUCAUUCAUAGAGUGUAAAGGCAUAAGGGAGCUUGACUGCGAGACCUACAAGUCGAGCAGGGUCGAAAGACGGACUUAGUGAUCCGGUGGUUCCG
rnacentral:rRNA from 1 species